AUUGAACGCUGGCGGCAUGCUUUGCACAUGCAAGUCGAACGGCAGCGCGGGCUUCGGCCUGGCGGCGAGUGGCGAACGGGUGAGUAAUGCAUCGGAACGUGCCCAGUAGUGGGGGAUAGCCCGGCGAAAGCCGGAUUAAUACCGCAUACGACCUGAGGGUGAAAGCGGGGGACAGAAAGGCCUCGCGCUAUUGGAGCGGCCGAUGUCGGAUUAGCUAGUUGGUGGGGUAAAGGCUUACCAAGGCGACGAUCCGUAGCUGGUCUGAGAGGACGACCAGCCACACUGGGACUGAGACACGGCCCAGACUCCUACGGGAGGCAGCAGUGGGGAAUUUUGGACAAUGGGGGCAACCCUGAUCCAGCCAUGCCGCGUGCGGGAAGAAGGCCUUCGGGUUGUAAACCGCUUUUGUUCGGGAAGAAAUCCUCUGGGCUAAUACCCCGGGGGGAUGACGGUACCGGAAGAAUAAGCACCGGCUAACUACGUG
rnacentral:rRNA from 1 species